AUUGAACGCUGGCGGCAGGCUUAACACGUGCAAGUCGAGCGGAGGUGAGGUGCUUGCACCUUAUCUUAGCGGCGGACGGGUGAGUAAUGCUUAGGAAUCUGCCUAUUAGUGGGGGACAACAUUCCGAAAGGAAUGCUAAUACCGCAUACGUCCUACGGGAGAAAGCAGGGGAUCUUCGGACCUUGCGCUAAUAGAUGAGCCAAAGUCGGAUUAGCUAGUUGGUGGGGUAAAGGCCUACCAAGGCGACGAUCUGUAGCGGGUCUGAGAGGAUGAUCCGCCACACUGGGACUGAGACACGGCCCAGACUCCUACGGGAGGCAGCAGUGGGGAAUAUUGGACAAUGGGGGGAACCCUGAUCCAGCCGUGCCGCGUGUGUGAAGAAGGCCUUAUGGUUGUAAAGCACUUUAAGCGAGGAGGAGGCUACUGAGACUAAUACUCUUGGAUAGUGGACGUUACUCGCAGAAUAAGCACCGGCUNACNACGUGCCAGCCGCCGCCGUAA
rnacentral:rRNA from 1 species